AGCAUCUAUAGCUUAGUGGUAGAGCACCUGCUUUGCAAGCAGGAGGUCCCAGGUUCAACCCCAGGCAGCGCUG